rnacentral:tRNA from 1 species
UGUGGAUGGUCUGGCUGCUGGCCCUGGUCGCCCUGCGGGUGAUCCAGGUGGCGGCGUUCGACUCGGCGAUUCCCAG